rnacentral:rRNA from 1 species
UACGGAGGGUGCGAGCGUUGUUCGGAUUUACUGGGCGUAAAGCGUAUGUAGGCGGUUUGUUAAGUCGAAUGUGAAAUGUUGAGGCUCAACCUCGAAACUGCACUCGAUACUGGCAAACUAGAGGGCAAUAGAGGAGAGUAGAAUUCCCAGUGUAGCGGUGAAAUGCGUAGAUAUUGGGAGGAAUACCGGUUGCGAAGGCGACUCUCUGGGUUGUUCCUGACGCUGAGGUACGAAAGCGUGGGGAGCAAACGGG